rnacentral:lncRNA from 1 species
ACCCUGGAUAUUAAAGUCUCACUGUGGACCGGUAGAAGAAAACACAGCUCUUUUGAAUAGUCACAGUAAUACUUCCCCUUAAGCUCCAUUUAAAACAAUAGCUUGUUAAAUAACAGAUCACCAGAUUUUGACCAUUUAAAACAAUAGCUUGUUAAAUAACAGAUCACCAGAUUUUGACCAUUUAAAACAAUAGCUUGUUAAAUAACAGAUCACCAGAUUUUGACCCUCGCUGCACAAUAGAAUCACCUGGAAAGCUUUUCAGAAAUAACAAUGCCUAGGCCCCCGCCCAACCAAUUGAAUCAGAAUUUCUGGGGGGUGGAAGUUGAGCAUCCAUGUUUUCCAAGAGAUUUCUAGAUGAUUCUAAUAGGCAGCUGGCAUGAAGAACCAGUGCUCUCAAUGAACUGAAUACCAUGUUUCUUGAGAACCUGAAACAGGCGCCGCAUGCAUAAAACAAGCCCAGGGAACUGAGACUCACUCGGCUGACUCUAAACAGUGCUCUGCCACUAGCACAGGACUCCACCCUCAAGGUGGCGUCCCCGAAGGUCUCCCAGAAGGCCUCACCCCUUUCCCAGCGCCACCACCCAUACCUCCUCAGAGGAAGUCUCAGCACUGAAAAACGGCUUGUUGAAUAAGCAGAACCAAUUAUGUGGACAUGGAUCAUCUCUUUGUAGAUGUUAAUUAA